AGCGAACGCUGGCGGCAGGCCUAACACAUGCAAGUCGAACGAACCCUUCGGGGUUAGUGGCGGACGGGUGAGUAACACGUGGGAACGUGCCUUUAGGUUCGGAAUAACUCAGGGAAACUUGUGCUAAUACCGAAUGUGCCCUUCGGGGGAAAGAUUUAUCGCCUUUAGAGCGGCCCGCGUCUGAUUAGCUAGUUGGUGAGGUAAAGGCUCACCAAGGCUACGAUCAGUAGCUGGUCGGAGAGGAUGACCAGCCACAUUGGGACUGAGACACGGCCCACACGCCUACGGGAGGCAGCAGUGGGGAAUCUUGCGCAAUGGGCGAAAGCCUGACGCAGCCAUGCCGCGUGGAUGAUGAAGGUCUUAGGAUUGUAAAAUCCUUUCACCGGUGAAGAUAAUGACUGUAGCCGGAGAAGAAGCCCCGGCUAACUUCGUGCCAGCAGCCGCCGUAAAAC
rnacentral:rRNA from 1 species